GACAGAGGUGCCAAGCGUUAGGCGGAAUCACUGGGCUUAAAGCGUGUGUAGGCGGAUUGGUAAGUACCUUGUGAAAUCCCACGGCUCAACCGUGGAACUGCUCGGUAUACUGCCUAUCUUGAGCCACUUAGGGGCUGUCGGAACAAACGGUGGAGCGGUGAAAUGCGUAGAUAUCAGGAGGACACCGAUGGCGAAGGCAGGUCUCUGGGCAUUAACUGACGUGAGGAGCGAAAGCAUGGGGAGCAACAGG
rnacentral:rRNA from 1 species